ACUGCUCAGUAACACGUGGAUAACUUACCCUUAGGAUCGGGAUAAUCCUGGGAAACUGGGGCUAAUACUGAAUAGGCAAUUUUUUUUCUGGAAUGGUUGUUUUGUUUAAAUGUUUUUUUUUCGCCUGAGGAUAGGUCUGCGGCCGAUUAGGUUGUUGGUAAGGUAAUGGCUUACCAAGCCAGUUAUCGGUACGGGUUGUGAGAGCAAGGGCCUGGAGAUGGAACCUGAGACAAGGUUCCAGACCCUACGGGGUGCAGCAGGCGCGAAACCUCCGCAAUGUGAGAAAUCGCGACGGGGGGAUCCCAAGUGCCAUUGCGAAAGUAAUGGCUUUUCAUAAGUGUAAAAAGCUUUUGGAAUAAGAGCUGGGCAAGACCGGUGCCAGCCGCCGCGGUAACACCGGCAGCUCUAGUGGUAGCCAUUUUUAUUGGGCCUAAAGCGUUCGUAGCCGGUUUAAUAAGUCCUUGGUGAAAUCCUAUAGCUUAACUGUGGGAAUUGCUGGGGAUACUAUUAGACUUGAGGUCGGGAGAGGUUAGAGGUACUCCCAGGGUAGGGGUGAAAUCCUGUAAUCCUGGGAGGACCACCUGUGGCGAAGGCGUCUAACUGGAACGAACCUGACGGUGAGGGACGAAAGCUAGGGGCGCGAACCGGAUUAGAUACCCGGGUAGUCCUAGCCGUAAACGAUGCGGACUUGGUGUUGGGAUGGCCUUGAGCUGCUCCAGUGCCGAAGGGAAGCUGUUAAGUCCGCCGCCUGGGAAGUACGGUCGCAAGACUGAAACUUAAAGGGAUUGGCGGGGGAG
rnacentral:rRNA from 1 species